rnacentral:rRNA from 1 species
ACGCACGUUGGCGGCGUGCUUAACCCAUGCAAGUCGAACGGUGAAGCGCCUUCCUUUUUGGUGGGUGUGGAUGAGUGGCGAACGGGUGAGUAACACGUGAGUAACCUGCCCCCUUCUUCUGGAUAACCGCAUGAAAGUGUGGCUAAUACGGGAUAUUCUGGGUCUGUCGCAUGAUGGGUCUGGGAAAGAUAUUGUUUCGGUGGGGGAUGGGCUCGCGGCCUAUCAGCUUGUUGGUGGGGUGAUGGCCUACCAAGGCGGUGACGGGUAGCCGGCCUGAGAGGGUGGACGGUCACACUGGGACUGAGACACGGCCCAGACUCCUACGGGAGGCAGCAGUGGGGAAUAGUGCACAAUGGGCGCAAGCCUGAUGCAGCGACGCCGCGUGAGGGAUGGAGGCCUGCGGGUUGUGAACCUCUUUCGCCAGUGAAGCAGGCCUGCCUCGUUUGUGGGUGGGUUGACGGUAGCUGGAUAAGAAGCGCCGGCUAACUACGUG